rnacentral:rRNA from 1 species
GAUGAACGCUGGCAGCGUGCCUAAUACAUGCAAGUCGAGCGAACAGACGAGGAGCUUGCUCCUCUGACGUUAGCGGCGGACGGGUGAGUAACACGUGGAUAACCUACCUAUAAGACUGGGAUAACUUCGGGAAACCGGAGCUAAUACCGGAUAAUAUAUUGAACCGCAUGGUUCAAUAGUGAAAGACGGUUUUGCUGUCACUUAUAGAUGGAUCCGCGCCGCAUUAGCUAUUUGGUAAGGUAACGGCUUACCAAGGCAACGAUGCGUAGCCGACCUGAGAGGGUGAUCGGCCACACUGGAACUGAGACACGGUCCAGACUCCUACGGGAGGCAGCAGUAGGGAAUCUUCCGCAAUGGGCGAAAGCCUGACGGAGCAACGCCGCGUGAGUGAUGAAGGUCUUCGGAUCGUAAAACUCUGUUAUUAGGGAAGAACAAAUGUGUAAGUAACUAUGCACGUCUUGACGGUACCUAAUCAGAAAGCCACGGCUAACUACGUG